CCAAAUCACGUGCCAGCAGUCGCGGUAAUACGUGGAAGACUAGUGUUAUUCAUCUUUAAUUGGUUUAAAGGGUACUUAGACGGUUAAUUAAGCCCGAUAGGGUACUAAUUGACUAGAGUUUUAUAUGAGAAGGGGAGUACUAAAGAGUGUAGAGAUGAAAUUCAGUCAUACCUGACUUGGAACAGGCAACGGCGAAGGCAACCUUUUAUGUAAAAACUGACGUUGAAGGACGAAGGCUUAGGACACCAACAGGAUUAGAUACCCCAGCAGUCUAAGCAGACAAUGAUGAAUGUCAUAGAUUAGAAUUAUAAUUUUGUCUAUAAAUGAAAGUGUAAGCAUUCCACCUCAAGAGUAAUGCGGCAACGCAUAAACUGAAAUCAUUAGACCGUUUCUGAAACCAGUAGUGAAGUAUGUUAUUUAAUUUGAUAACCCUCACAACACCUUACCACAACUUGAAUAGUAUGUUUUUACUUUUCGGAUUAUCUGGGAAUAGAUUUAUACUACAGGCGUUGCACGGCUGUUUUCAGUUAAUGUCGUGAGAUUUUGGUUAUUUCCCAUUAAUUAACGUAACCCUUACUUUAUUUAUCGUAAUAAAGUAGUUCACCGCUAUAUGGAUAAGAUAAUAGGGAAUAAGACAGUCAAUAUGGCCCUUAA
rnacentral:rRNA from 1 species